rnacentral:rRNA from 1 species
UAUUUAGCACGUAAGUGUUUGAUGCUGUAGUGGCGAACGGGUGCGUAACGCGUAAGAACCUGCCUUUCGGAAGGGGAUAACAUUUGGAAACGAUUGCUAAUACCCAAUAAAAAGCUGAGAAGCAAAAGGGGUUAAAACCGCCGAGAGAGGGGCUUGCGUCUGAUUAGCUAGUUGGUGGGGGUAAUGGCCUCCCAAGGCCACGAUCAGUAGCUGUUCUGAGAGGAUGACCAGCCACACUGGGACUGAGACACGGCCCAGACUCCUACGGGAGGCAGCAGUGAGGAAUUUUCCGCAAUGGGCGCAAGCCUGACGGAGCAAUACCGCGUGGAGGAAGAAGGACCGUGGUUCGUAAACUCCUUUUCUCAGAGAAGAAGAUCUGACGGUAUCUGAGGAAUAAGCCCCGGCUAACUUCGUGCCAGCAGCCGCGGUAAUACGAAGGGGGCAAGCGUUAUCCGGAAUGAUUGGGCGUAAAGCGUCUGUAGGUGGUUUAUGAAGUUCCCUGUCAAAUAUCAGGGCUCAACCUUGAGAAGGCAGUGAAGUACUCAUAGACUAGAGUGCGGUAGGGGUAGAGGGAACUCCGCGUGGAGCGGUGAAAUGCGUA